rnacentral:lncRNA from 1 species
CCCACUCCUGCCCACAAGAGAACAACCCCCUUUAACUGUAAUUUUCCACUACCUACCCAAAUCCUAUAAAACUGUCCCACCCCAUCUCUCUCCCUUUGCUGACUCCUUUUUCAGAUUCGCCCACCUACGCCCAGGUGAUUAAAAAGCUUUAUUGCUCACACAAAGACUGUUUGGUGGUCUCUUCACACGGACGCAUGUAACAUUUGGUGCUGAAGACCUGGGACAGGGGGAUUCCUUCAGGAGACUGGUCCCCUGUCCUCGCCCUCACUCCUUGAGGAGAUCCACCUACGACCUUGGGUCCUGAAAUCAGCCCAAGGAACAUCUCACCAAUUUCAAAUCAGGGGGCUGGAGCCCUGGGCCAAGGGAGACCUGUGACCCCAGGUGCCGCCGGGAGAACUUCAGCCCAGAGGGGAAAUCAGCUCUCCGUGACCCAGCACCCCUACCCAGCAGCGCAACAGAUCCUGAGAGGAGCUACAGGAUGAUUCUAGAAACAGCGCACUUCAGGAAUCAUGUUGCAGGUGUUGUGCAUUGGAUCCACCACAGUCGGCUGAAACUGACAACUCAAGACAAGUGGACCAGCCAGCAGGACCCAGAUCAUCCAACUCGGCUGAUCCUGAGACGGGACCAAACUGCUGCCGAAGACGACCGCCCUGUUCUGGUCACUCCGGAGGCUAACCAGCCUACGCAUGGCUGAAGUUUGAGGAAACAACAAGCCCUGCUCUAGUCACACACUGAAAGCUGACUAGUCUAUGCACGGCCAAAGCUUGAGGACUCAUCAAGCAAGUAAAUGUAGUUAGAAAUCUUAGAACUAGUAGUUUUCCUUGUAAUAUUAACUGUUUUACUAUUGUUCUGUCACUGUGCUCAACCUCCUCUCCCAAAUAAGGACCUCUUCUGUCCUUACUAGAUAUGAAUAUACUGUACAUUGUUUUACUGUUGUUACCCCACUUAACCAUGCUAGAAGAAACACCCAUAGAAGGGUGUCCCCAUCGUACACAUACUACAUGGUCAGAAAACAGUAUAACCAGGACUCUAUUAUACCAUACUUAUUAUGAGUAUACAGGGACUCACCUAGGAACUUGUACUUACAAUCAGAUCACCUAUUCAAUUUAUGACCCAGGAAAUGGCCAGCUACCUAGGUGGAAGAUAGGUCAUGGAGUUACCGUACUCCUACUUACGUGCUUAAGCGCAUCAUAAGGUUACAGGCAGGGCUUGAGAUCAUCACUAAUAAACAUCAAAUGCAUUAGAUUUACUGACCCAGCAAGCUACAAAAAAUGAGGAAUGCUAUCUAUCAGAACAGAUUAGCUUUAGACUAUCUCCUAGCCCAGGAAGGAGGAGUAUGUGGAAAAUUCAAUCUAACUAAUUGUUGCCUGGAAAUCAAUGACAAUGGAAAGACAUUUAUGGAAAUAACUGCAAGAAUAAGAAAAUUAACCCACGUUCCAGUUCAAACGUAGAAAGGGUGGUCUCCAGAUUCUCUCUUUGGAGGCUGUUUUUCAUUUUUCGGAGGGUUCAAGACUUUAAUAAGAUUGAUUCUGGCCAUACUAGGAAGUUGCCUAAUACUACCUUGUCUCUUACCUCUCCUUGUUAGAAACAUUCAGUCAACUAUAGAGGCAAUAGUAGCUAGGCAAACUACCAGUCAGCUAAUGGCUCUAUGUAAAUGUCAACCUUUGUCUAAAGAAGAAAACUUGUCUCUUCAUGCAAAAUUAAAUAAUAGUGAUGCCUCCUAUUAAAUUUCUUUUAUAAAAGGCAUCAAAGGGGGGAAACUGAGGCAGAAAUUUAAAAAUAAAUAUGCAUUCAUUCACUCCAAGAAAAGUUAACAGGCAAGGCAAGGGUUAAAAAGAAAAGAACAAGUUUUCCUCGGCCUAGCAAGCUCACUUCAAGGACAGUUAUAAGAUAAUGUUGUUUGAGAAGCCAAGUCCAAAGGAAUGGGUUCCAGACAUCCCUCCCCUCUAGAACAAGGUUGAAGGAAAAAAAAAAAAAAAGAAGAAGACAAAUUCCUUUACUGUUACUCCUUUCCCUGGCUUCUUAAGCAUGAUUAUGUUUUACAAAUGUCUGUAUUUAGCCAGUUCUUGAUUUUCUUUUGACACAGCUCCAAGGCCACCAGCUAUGCAAGGCCACAAGUUAUGCACUAUAUGAUUAACUGCUUUUGUUUUACUUUUGUAAGUCCACUUAUAAAAACCCUGCUCUGUCUUUGUUUAAUGCUCAGCUUUUUGGAUUUGAAUCCACUCAGCCGGUGCACACCUUAAAAUAAACAUCCUCCUGUACUCUCAUAUUGGUCUCUCCAUUCCUCAGUUUCCCACAAGAUUACAAGCAUGAGCCACCGCACCGGGCCCAUUUUAACCAUUUUCAAAUGGAGAAUUCAGUGGUAUUAGGUACAUUUAUAUUGUUGUGCAACCAUCACCACUAUCCAUCUACAGAACUCUUUUUAUCUUGUGAAACUAAAACUCUAUACCCAUUAAACACUAACUCCUCACUCCUCCCUUCCCUCAUCACUUGACAGCCAUCCUUCUACUUUAUGUCUCUAUUCAUAGGUAUGAGCUCCCCCAUGCCUGCCCAAAUCACUAAUCUAAAAGGAAAUGUCAAGCUGAGAACUUCUUAGGGCAAACCUGCCUCCCAUUCUAUUCAAAGUUACCCCUCUGCUCAGAGAUAAAUGCAUAUCUCAUUGCCUCCUUUGGAGAAGCUAAUCAGAAACUCAAAAGAAUGCAACCAUUUGUCUCUUUUCUACCUAUGACCUGGAAGCCCCCUCCCUGCUUUGAGCUGUCCCGCCUUUCUGGACCAAACCAAUGUUCAUCUUACAUAUAUUAACUGAUGUCUCAUUUCUCCCUAAAAUGUAUAAAACCAAGCUAUGGUCUGACUACCCUGGGCACAUGACAUCAGGACCUCCUGAGACUGCGCCAUGGGUGCACAUCCUCAACUGUGGCAAAAUAAACUUUAUUUU